UACGAGAGGCCCAAACGUUAUUCGGAAUUACUGGGCUUAAAGAGUUCGUAGGCGGCGCAGAAAGUAGGGUGUGAAACCCCUCGGCUUAACCGAGGAAUUGCGCUCUAAACUACUGUGCUUGAGGAACCUAGAGGUGAGCAGAACUGAUGGUGGAGCGGUGAAAUGCGUUGAUAUCAUCAGGAAUACCGGAGGCGAAGGCGGCUCACUGGGGGUUUUCUGACGCUGAGGAACGAAAGCCAGGGGAGCGAACGGG
rnacentral:rRNA from 1 species